rnacentral:piRNA from 1 species
UGGUGUUGGCUCGGGCUCAUCUCCUCAAGU